UACGUAGGCAGCAAGCGUUGUUCGGAAUUACUGGGCGUAAAGAGUGUGUAGGCGGUUUUCUAAGUCUGUUGUGAAAUCUCCCGGCUUAACCGGGAGGGUGCGGCGGAAACUGGAGUGCUUGAGGGUGGGAGAGGUAAGCGGAAUUCCUGGUGUAGCGGUGAAAUGCGUAGAUAUCAGGAGGAACACCUGUGGUGUAGACAGCUUACUGGACCGCUUCUGACGCUGAGACACGAAAGCGUGGGUAGCAAACAGG
rnacentral:rRNA from 1 species